rnacentral:rRNA from 1 species
CCUACGGGUGGCUGCAGUGAGGAAUAUUGGUCAAUGGACGUGAGCCUGAACCAGCCAAGUCGCGUGAGGGAUGAAGGUUCUAUGGGUUGUAAACUUCUUUUAUAUGGGAAUAAAGUGCGGGACGUGUCCCGUUUUGUAUGUACCUUAUGAAUAAGGAUCGGCUAACUCCGUGCCAGCAGCCGCGGUAAUACGGAGGAUCCGAGCGUUAUCCGGAUUUAUUGGGUUUAAAGGGUGCGUAGGCGGACUUUUAAGUCAGUGGUGAAAGUCUGUGGCUCAACCAUAGAAUUGCAGUUGAAACUGGGAGGCUUGAGUAUAGUAGAGGUAGGCGGAAUGCGUGGUGUAGCGGUGAAAUGCUUAGAUAUCACGCAGAACCCCGAUUGCGAAGGCAGUUUGC